GACAGCAUGGCAUUGUGGUUUGAGUGUUGGACUAUGACUCUGGAGACCUGGGUUCGAUUCCCAGCUUGGCCA
rnacentral:tRNA from 1 species